GCGAAGUAGCUGAUUUCACACUGUCAAGAAAAGUCUCUAUCGAGGUUAAAGGUACCCGUACCGCAAACCGACACAGGUGGGUGAGGAAAGUAUCCUAAGGCCAGCGAGAGAACUGUUGUUAAGGAACUCGGCAAAAUGACCCCGUAACUUAGGGCUAGGGGGUGCCACCAUCAGGUGGCCGCAGAGAAUAGGCCCAAGCGACUGUUUACCAAAAACAUAGGUUUCUGCUAAGUCGCAAGACGAUGUAUAGGAGCUGACGCCUGCCCGGUGCUGGAAGGUUAAGGGGAUCUGUUAGAGCAAUCGAAGCAGUGAACUUAAGCCCCAGUAAACGGCGGCCGUAACUAUAACGGUCCUAAGGUAGCGAAAUUCCUUGUCGGGUAAGUUCCGACCCGCACGAAAGGCGUAACUAUUUUGGAACUGUCGGAAAAACAGACUCUGUGAAUUUGUAAUUCCGGUGAAGAUGCGGGAUACCUUCGACAGGACGGGAAGACCCCAUGGUGCUUUACUGUAGCUGGACAUUGGGUAUUUGUACUACAUGUAAAGGAUAGGUGGGAGGCUUUGAAACCAGGACGCCAGUUUUGGCGGAGCCAUCCUUGGGAUACCACCCUUGUAGUACUGGGACUCUAACCAUAGGCCAUGAAUCUGGUCUUGGGACACUGUCAGGUGGGCAGUUUGACUGGGGCGGUCGCCUCCCAAAAGG
rnacentral:rRNA from 1 species